rnacentral:rRNA from 1 species
AUCGAACGCUGGCGGCAUGCCUUACGCAUGCAAGUCGAACGGUAACAGGUCUUCGGAUGCUGACGAGUGGCGAACGGGUGAGUAAUACAUCGGAACGUGCCUAGUAGUGGGGGAUAACUACUCGAAAGAGUGGCUAAUACCGCAUGAGAUCUACGGAUGAAAGCAGGGGAUCGCAAGACCUUGUGCUACUAGAGCGGCCGAUGGCAGAUUAGGUAGUUGGUGGGAUAAAAGCUUACCAAGCCGACGAUCUGUAGCUGGUCUGAGAGGACGAUCAGCCACACUGGGACUGAGACACGGCCCAGACUCCUACGGGAGGCAGCAGUGGGGAAUUUUGGACAAUGGGCGAAAGCCUGAUCCAGCAAUGCCGCGUGCAGGAUGAAGGCCUUCGGGUUGUAAACUGCUUUUGUACGGAACGAAAAGCCCCGGGUUAAUACCCUGGGGUCAUGACGGUACCGUAAGAAUAAGCACCGGCUAACUACGUGCCAGCCGCCGCGGUAA